rnacentral:tRNA from 1 species
ACCAUGGUGGUAUAGUGGUGAACAUAGCUGCCUUCCAAGCAGUUGAUCCGGGUUCGAUUACCCGACCAAUGCA